CGAACGGGGAAAGGCGGAGAACCCAAGCAGGGAAGCCACGGGCACGCCGGCGAGAGUACAACGGGUCUGCACAGGGCGAGCGUCAAGAGCACAGACACCGCGGGAGGACACUUUCUGAUGAAGAAGUGGAAGGGGAGGGGGCAGUUAUUCCAAAACUACACUGGAUUAAGAAAACGACAUUACAGAGCUUCAUCUAGAACACUCUUUUGUCAGACCAGUCGCCCCCCUGAAACAGCUAAAGCUAGCAAGCUGGGAUCGGAAUGCAAGAGGAUGUGUCCAACACGAACUGAGUCCACCACUGUUGGUGUCAUUCUGCUCUUUGCACUGAUGCUAUUUGGUCUCGACGCACAUCAGCUGUUGGAAUGUGUUUUCCUUGUCUGUCAAUACGAUUUUGUCGGACAGCUUAUACAUUCCGCGUGAAAAGCGCGUACCUUCUUCGUAAACUAGCUGACCUAUAUUGAAAACUCAAAUGUGUUGUGAGACUGAAUACUCAACAAGUGCAAGCAUGUUUCAGCAGUAAUGCGACUACAUUUAAUCUUGUAUCUUGUUUUUGGUCGCUACACCCGUGUUUUGCAUGAUAGCUAAGAAAGUAAUAUUUUUUUAGGGUUUCGUCAAAGGUUUUGCUGUCAUAUUCUACUACAUACAUUACUGAUUCCAUAUCUGGCUUUGUGAAUAGUAUAGGUAAACCCAUGCAAGAUGCAUACUCAUAUUAUGGCAGUAAAUAUGACUUUCCUUUGUAAUUGCCUUUUAUGUCAGCAUGGACAGUAGAGGUUUCGUCUCUGUCAUUCAGUGAGCAGGUUCAUCCUUUCCUACAACGUAGGGCCCUUUUUCUUUGCACUGAGUUAACAUAAACCCUUCGUGAUGGCAGAUGCUAAUUUAUAUCUAACCACAACAGAUAGUAAAUCCCCCAGUGAAGUCCAAUCCCGGUAUGACUUUAUGUUUCUACUAAUAAAAGAGCUGUAGUCUUAGUGAGCGCCAACAAUAAAAGGUCAGACCUGGUUUGCGUUUUAAUCACUCAUUCCUGAAAUAGCAUGGCUAUGGCUUGUCGCCUGUAUUGGCUAAGCAUGCAACCUUGAAUGAAAAUAAUGUUUAACUAAUGGUACUCCACUUUAAUGUUUUCACUUCGAAGUUACCUAGCACUGGGGAUUCAUAUUUGGUUAAGAAAUUAUUAUUAAUAAGAAAAAAAAAAAGAAUUAUCCGGUUGGUUAAUUCGUCCUUAUUUGGAAAACGAAGGAUACAAUGCAUUUUUUACACAUUUCAUGGCUCAGACAAUGUAAGUGAAAUUUUCAAAAAUUCAGACAGCACAUUGUUUUGGUACAUUUUACAAAGUUCAGCGCACUGAUUUAUUUUGAUAGACGUUGCACUUAUAUAUUGUAGUAACUUUGAACAUAUCAAUAAACGGGAUGUGUUUUUCCAUAUACAACUACAGUAUAAAAGUUAACAUAUAUAUAUUUUUGAUGAAUCAUUUGUUGUCUGAUCACACAUCUUCUUAGAUUAUUUUGUCUUUCAUUUUCUUUUCUUUUUUAAGUUAAAGCGUCUGAUGAAUCAUCUGAGGCUGUGAAGAAAUGAGAUGUGAGGAAUAUUGUCUUAAGCAUGUAGUCUGUAUAGUGCCUGCACCUUAAUGGUUCCAAAGUGCUAGCAACCUCGCUGAGGUCCCUACCCUUGUCUGUGUACACACACACACACACACACACACACACACACACACACACACACACACACACACACACACACACACACACACACACACACACACACACACACACACACACACACACACACACACACACACACACACACACACUCUCUGUCCGUUGCUUAUGGCCAUAUACUGGUACUCAUACUUUCAAGCUCUUCACUUUAGAUGGGUAAGCUCUUCGCUCAAUGGGCCUAGGUUUGGUAUAAACAUAUGCUGUUAAAUCCCUUUUUGUUUUUGACAUGGGUUAUACGAUAAGAAGUAGACCUACUUGAGAUAUAGGUCUUUGGAUUAUUAAUACUUUUGGAUGUUACUGUGGUUGCCAUUUAGUAGACUGAAUAUAAAUUAUAAGGAAAGCUCAAAAAUCUUUAGUUGUGGUGAUAUUAGACUAGCCAGCUGUCCUGCAUGGGAUUUGAUAAAUCUAUAUUGUGAUAGAGAUUAGAAGUCUUUCUGAUAAAACAAUGAAUGUUUCUUCCCACUUGGCCAUCAGCUCUAGUGAGCAUUACUAAUCAGCCCUACAUUUCCCCCCUUUGAUACUAUGAAUAUUUCAUUACCUAGCAACGUAUUUGUGAUAUUUAUUAUAUUAUCAUUCCAUUUUUUAAGCAAAGCAAAAAAAAGACAGGUUUCCAUGGUGCCAUAUUGGGAGUGAAUUUAGAGCUAGUUUGUGUGUGUGUUUGUGUAUGUGUUUGCAUACAAGGCCAGGGCCUCAUUUGGAAUUCAGCUGUGGCCCUGCGCUGCCUAGCCCUGUCUCACUGAGAGGCUUUUUUAAUUUGUCCCCUUGUUGAAGUGAUUAUUCAAAUGGCCAUCCGUGAGAUGCAGUUAUCAGACUCCUGGUGGUAUUUGAGCCUGUGGCAACAUAAAAGGCCCCCCCCCCCCCAACCUGAGUAGUUGGAGGCCACCCAACUACAGGUAGGCUAUUCCUCUUUACCGUGCCCUGGUAUAGACCACCUCAUCUGGCUUGCCCUGCAGCCAAUAGCUGACCGAAAUAGUGGAUGCUUUUGGCUGGAAAAAUGCACAAAGGAUGGCAUUUUUGUUAUUUUUGCGAUUGGUAUCGGAGUUUCGUACAAAUUCUAGGUAGACUAACAAGCCCCCACUUAUUUAUAUUGCACAAAUAAAAAACCAUCUUUGUUCAACGUUGAUGCAAGGAACAUGUAUGUAGUUGUUUAGAGCUUUCCCCAUGCACAACAGAAACAGAACGUGUUGUUUUUUUCUCCUCUCUUGUGGGUCUAAUGUCGAAUCAGUGGACAUUCUUGUAAGGGAUCGCUCCCCAUGCUUCACUUUCAUCCAAACGUGUGUGUGUGUGUGUGUGUGUGUGUGUGUGUGUGUGUGUGUGUGUGUGUGUGUGUGUGUGUGUGUGUGUGUGUGUGUGUGUGUGUGUGUGUGUGUGUUAGCUCACUCUUCAUUAACAAUGCUGUGUGUAUCACUAGAAUGCAGAUGAGCUCUGAAGCCAUUCAUCUCGCUGAAAAAUGCCUCCCCGAUUCUAGUUUGCAGUCAUAUUGUGUGAGACCACUUCUCCAUGUUAAAGAAGUCUCUUCAUGUGCAAGAGAUCAGAGGGGGAUAAUUGCACUUAAGUGAACCUCAUUUAGUGCUGGCCGGAGCAAUUACUGUUACUGCAGUUCUAGGCAUUUUUUUGGGGGGGGGGCCUGAAGCAACUGUCAUAGAGGCUCUAAAGCGAGAUAUGAAAUGGUGACUAGAAUGACAUUGGCAUAGCAUCAUGGGAAAUUACACAUUUUUGGCUGGAUCUUAAUGAGGUUUUUUGGGCUGUAUUUGCUCAGCUGUUUUUGAAUCAAAAGAAAAGCAUGAUUAAAUAUGACAAUAAGCUACACAUGGCCGUUAUUAAAAGUUUAACAAAUUAUUCGCAAGGUGUUUUAAAGGUGAACAAAUGCCACCACAACUUAUUUUGCAGGCAAGGCCUCCUGGGUAUCUCGAAGAUGUUUUAUCAUUAAUGUUAUUCAGAAGUCAAAAUUUGAGUUUUGCUCAGCUGGGUGCUUUAAUCUAUUUUUGCUGUAAAUUAAUGAAUUUUUAAAGAGCCCCAUGCUGGAUAUGGAUGGAUGUGGGAAUGCCGCACUUGUUCAGAGUUUUUCGAACAAGCCUUCUUUCCAACCCCCACUACAAACCCAGUCUCACAUGCACGCACACACGCACUUAUCCACGCACGCACACACACACUUUAACCUCCUCGGGAGUGAGUCAAUUUACCGAAGCAGUACAGUUUCAUUUUUUAUUCAUCCUGCAAAUACACUGCCUUAUUCUCCCUGUUUCAACACCCAACUCCCAUCCACAACACUUGCAAUGUAUCGCCACGAUGUCUGUAAACUAAUUCUAUACAGUCCCAAUUCAUUCAUCCAGAGUGGGAAAGGGUUGUGGAUAUGGAUCUGUUAUGGAAGCAUGUGAUAUUUAAUUCAUCAUGUAGCUUUCCAAAUAACAGCAGCCACUGAGCUAUUAGGGGCAACACUUCUCAUUCAAAGAGAUCGCCUUCACCUCCUCUGGUUGGCUCAUCUUUUACUUUUCAGUAUUUUACAAAGGAAGAUAGUGCCCUCCGCUACAGGGCUUGAUGGUUAAAGGUUUGUGUGUCGGGGAGAAGAGUGGGCAGGGCGCGCCGUUGGGUGAGCUCUGGCAACACAUGGCGGCCGCUGUGUACUGUGUAGAGGAGACUGAGCACAUGGUCGGGAGCAAAAGCUAUGAAUCCACAGAAUAUAAACGACUGUUUCAAGCUUGGUUUAAGUUCCAGGGAGACUGGGCUACGCAAAAUAUGUUGGGUUAGAAACAUGUGAUGAUGUGAAGGUUUUUUAUGAAAUGUAAUAUGAGCGGUAUGGAUAUCUCUGUAAUAUCCGGAGCUUUGAAUUCCUUCCAUUGAAGUCAAAUUAAUUGUGCUUCUUCUUUUACUAGACGUAAGACACAAAAAUCAAGGCUAGAUAGUGGUUGUCAUUUGAAGGUUAGGAGGAUGUCUUCUGCUCUUAAUGGAUACCUAAAGGCACGGAUGGUAUAUGACUGGCAUGACUUCUGAGGCCUGAAAUCAUUUAAUAAUUCAUCUUAUUGUUUCCGGUGUCCUUGAAUUUGGUUCGCCCCGUAGAGCGUCAGCAUAUUUGAUUUUGACUUCUUUAUUAUUUGUCCUACGCUCGGUUGAAGAAAUUGAUAUGCUUCUAUAAUUCACUCUCUGUUUUCAGGGAAAGGUUUCUGCUAAGCUUCCAGAGCUUAGCUAAUGAUAAUGGAGCUCCCACUAUACUAUUUGCACCUUCUUUUAAUUACUACAGUGACUAGCUUAUGCUCUCGCAGCAAAUCCAAAAUUUAGCUCCUGGUAAAAGGUUAAUAACCUGCUGAAAGAAUGAUGUAUAAACGAGGAAAUCUUAACCCUACCUGAAAAUUGAUGCUUUUCAGUAGGACAAAGCUUGUAGGAUUAAAACAAAACCAAAACUAACAAAAUUACAAGGCUGUAUUCAUACCAUAACUAGUAUUACUCUUGCUACAGUACAUUGUUUACCAGCUUAUUCUUGUGCUCUUGUUUUUUAUUUUCAGCAAGCAGAGAGUGGAAGUUCGGCGAGGGAUGCACAGCCCUGAACCUUAUUAGGGAGGUUAAAUGUAGGGUUAGGGAACUAGAACGACAUGGCUGGCUUCUACCCUGCUUACGGCCUUUCUCUGCUAACCGUUAUAGUGCAAUUCGGACAAAGUGUGUGUGUGUGUGUGUGUGUGUGUGUGUGUGUGUGUGUGUGUGUGUGUGUGUGUGUGUGUGUGUGUGUGUGUGUGUGUGUGUGUGUGUGUGUGUGUGUGUGUGUGUGUGUGUGUGCCCCCCUGUGAUCUAGAGUGCAGCCUGCCAAGUCUUGCAGAUGGGACCCUUUUUUCUUCUUUUGGGUGGGAAGAAGUUGUGUUUGCUGGCCUGCAACUCACCAAUGUCUCUAUGCCAAAGUCUUCAAUAUGAUUUUACUUGUUGUUAAAGACGUUCUGCAUGGUUGUUUUCCUCGUCAAGACUGUGUUUCUGGGGAAACCUGAUUGAUUAGCUCUAGAUGCAGGCUUUUGUGUGGUAUCUUCGCCCUGCGAAACAAUCCACCCACCCACCUACACUUUUAAAUGCUGGCCACUGUUGUAGGUUACAUUGAAGUUGGUUGGUACGUAAAUCUGCUGAUGAUAACCGCCUCCCUUCCCAAGCAUUCAUACACUAUGUGAUUUAUUCUUCCUCGAACUGUCUUUGGUAUUUCCUAAUUCUCUCUCUCUGUCUCCUCUCUCACUCUCUCUCUGUCUCUCUCUCAACAACACGUCUGUUGAGAAUAGUGAAGAAUGCAUCUAGUUACCCAGAUGAGUCACACUUCCUCUGGCCUGCGUGCUUCUCCCUCCGGGUGGAUGAAUGAGAGGGCGCCGGGGCUGGCUGGAGGAGGGGCUAACUGAGGAAGGAGGGUUGUGUGGGUAGUGUCUACGCGUUCUGUGUUCCAGCAACCCAUAAUGUCAUUAAGAAAGUUGGUGUGUCUGCAAUGCGCCGUGAACUGCGUAGUACAGUGAAAAUUGCACUUCAUCUGAUCUGUGUGUGGGCCUUUUUUCUGAGGGGACUCCUUGACUUUUGGGGCUGAGUCACAGUCACCUUCCACCACCACCCUCCCAUACGACGGCAGUCCUGCCGGCCUGGCAGCACUGCCUUUAAGAUAAGCCCCAUUGACUCAGACUGCAAAGGAAGGGGCUCGUACCUCAAUUCGGAGUAAUCUUACUCCCGAUCUCUUCCCACCUCCUCUCCGCACUGGCUCAGGUUUGCUUUCUUCAGUGUAGUGGUGGAAUGCAAAGGAUGCAAUCAAGCCUCGAGGAACUGCGGGAGUGUAGAUGCAGCUGUCUCUCGCUAAUAACUUUGUUGUGAGGCAGGUAAUUGAGAUUGGGUUUGGCGGGGGAGUACAAACCUGGAUCACUUUGGUUUGAAUCUCUCAGCUCCUUGCUGCCGCCGUCUAGGUUUAAUAGCAAAUUUAAGUGUACGCCAAGGUGAAAGGAAGCCCUGUGACAGUCUUACUAUUCGCAGACUCUCAGUAUAUCAUUACACUCCUCAACAAGCGUCUCAUCUCCGUACCUGCCCUGCCUGGUCCCCUGCCAGAAAGUAUGAGUCACCAGAGACUGACUGACCUACUUUUUUUUUUUCAGCCUUCUAGGAGUGCCAGAAAGUUAAAUACAAGUCAAUUAACAUGUGGCUAAACUCAUACCGUUUUUUUCUUUCUUGAGGCUUAGUAAGCAUAAUAGUUACCACGGAGCAAUUCUUGGUGUUCUUACAAAGACUAAAGACGUGCGGCUGUCAGCUGCAAUAUGAAUCCUGUCUCUUCUUACCUUGACUUUUGACCUAGUCACUUAUAUUAGACCAAUUUCCUGUGUAGCCUAUUGGUACGCUGCAUAGCCUUUAUUACUUUUCAAUGUAGUUAGUUGCUUGCAUUGAUUAUGCUUGCAUUGAAUGAAAAACCCAAGUUUGAUAAAUGAAUGAAAAUGCCUUGAGCGGCAGUAUGUAUUUAUUUAUUUAUCUAUACUGUCUUGUGCAGUUUGAUCAUUUGCUCAUAUAUUUUGCAUGGGCUCGAAUCAAGGGUAGAAAGUUUAGGGUACACAAAUUAUUUUCUCAAACCACUUGCCCCAGUCCGCACAGAGGCAGCGACUUUGCUUUUAAUCACUCAUUUAAAUGUUUUUGGUUGCGUUGUUCCUCAUUGCAGCAGAACCCACUCCCCCCCUAGUGUGGUAGAUUGUGAGGCCUUUGACUGCUCUUUUCCCCAUCUACAAGACUCCCCCUUUGAUAUGUCAGUUGUGUUUGAGUCUGCCUCCUUCGUCUCAACACGAUGGGCCCUGCUUGGCCUGCCCCCCCCCCGGCAUGCCGCCCCAGGGUGUGUGUGUGUGUAGUCAUUUAUUCAGCUUCCUCUCAAAGACUACCAUGCCUUCACUUCCCUUCUAGUUUCCCUGAUUAAGAUGGCAGGCAGAGCUUCGGUGGGCCAGAAAGGCUAAACCUUCUGGGGGGGCGCUGGUUGUUACAGUGGGGGGUAAAGAGAGCGAGUGUGUACACGGGAGACAUUAAAGGACUUGAUGCGCGCUGUGCAGCUCCGUUGCACUGCUGUUGCUUUACCAGGCUCAAAUUGCUCACUGAUUGUGUGUGUGUGUGUGUGUGUGUGUGUGUGUGUGUGUGUGUGUGUGUGUGUGUGUGUGUGUGUGUGUGUGUGUGUGUGUGUGUGUGUGUGUGUGUGUGUGUGUGUGUGUGUGUCGCCAAAAAUGGGUUUCUGACAAAAAGUGAUCAUAAUUAGGGCAGAGUAAAUCAACACAUCUUUGGUUUAAUGUUGAUUGCUGCUUAGGGCUCAUCGCUAAUAAUUCCUGUCAAGUCAUGAGAAGUGACUUUAGUUUUUGAAAUGUUCUUGUGUGUUCUCUGAUUAGAAUUUUUCUUAUCACUACUCUCCAAGGGUGUUACUGCUUUGAUACUUUCUGUAGAUUUAAUUAUCUGGAGUAAUGUGCACGGCAUUAAGCAUAAGGCCACCCCCUGGAUGUUGAAAAAACCUGUGGUGCAAUCGUUUUUGUGUGUCAGUGUAUCAAAUGCAGGAUCCAAGUUGCUACUUGUAUAUACCAAGCUGCUUUUUCCCAUAAUGUCUGGUUAAAAUUGUACGUAAAAAAAUAAAUAAAUAAAGAAAAGCUUUGCGUUUCAUUCUAAAAUGUAUUUUCGGAUAUUUUGAAGACUCAAUGGACUUGUCAGUGCAUUACUCUUAACUAAAAAAUCUAACCGCAACUAACUUGAAGGUUAAGGAAAUGAAAGUGGUGCAUCCUAAAAUAAUUCUUAAUAGUAGUUCUCGUUUUUGAGUCAAGAAAUUCCUCAUCAGACAUUGAUAAAAGGGCAUGACCCAAGUGUCAAAGUUUGUGUCAAACCAUGUUUUACACAAAACACACCAUAUAUUUGUGUGUGUGUAUAUAUUUAUUACAUGAACAUGAACCGGUGUGGUUCACAAAAUGCUUCACGCAUUUCUCCUGCCUUCAUGAUUGAUUGCAGUGGAUCAGAAGUCUGGCCGAGUCGACUCUCCCCUCCCUCCCCCCUCCUCUCCCUCCCCUCCACAGUGAGUCAUGUUGCGAGCCACAUGACACGCCACUUUCGCCAAAUGAGUCAUCCCCAACAAAAGCGUCUCACUCGGUGUAGGCCGCGAUGGGCCUGGGAUUGUGGACUUCUUUUUCUUCUAGGCCCCCUGCCCUGCAAAGGCGGCGCUGUGUGACAUUUAAAACAACUCUUGACCAUCGGUUAAGAUGAACCGAUGAGUCCGCGCAGUGAGCUAUAGCAUUUCUCUUUUUCCUAUCUUUACAAAAAAAAAAACACACCUUUUAGUUUGCACGUUUACUUUCACGUUUGAAAGUUGGAACCGAGUUAGUCGGCAGAUCUUCCCUCCUGCUUAUUAAAAUUCUUCCGCAAAAAGUCCUCAACCAAUCAGAGCCCUUAACCUUUCCAUGAAGGUCAUGUUUGUUUUCUGCUAAGGAACUGCGAUCUGCAUGCGGCAGAGUAUGCAUUUAUGUGUGUGUGGUUGUGUGGUGUAUGUGUGUGUGUGUGGGGGCGGCAGCUUAAGUUGCUGUGAUUUAUAGAAAUAUGAAUGAAUUCCCUGGGCAGCGGCCCAUCUGCUGUGUGGGUUGUAUGAGGGCAGCGCCCCUUCCCUCGGCUGCUUCGGCACUAAGCUACAGGGGGAGGCCAGGCCCAGGAGAGCAAUAAGCAGAAUUACCCACCGUGUAGGCCUGCUACCGCACUGCACUCUUUGCCCUUGAGCAGCACACGCUUUCUCAUGCUCCUCCAUUGUAAUAAAAACGCACUGACAGGUAAUGAGGCCAAGACGUGUAAAUGAGGAAUGAUGACUGUCUCCUGGAUCUGUGCGAUAUUCUUUUGGAGUCGAUGAAGACUGAUGGCACGGGAGGUGGCGUCUGGUGUAACGCGUGAGCACGCUGCACCGCUGAGUGGGUUAGCUUGGCAACAUGCAUGGCGGAACUAGUUUCUUUUUUUAAUAUAUGUUACGUGUGUGUGUGCGCAACCACGCAUAAUGCCCUCUGCAAGACUCAUUGCAUGCAUGUGCCCUGUCUGCAAUCCUAAAGUAGAGCUCUCGGUGUGUGUUUCUCUCUCUCUCCGUCUCUCUGUCAGGCGAGUGAAGCUCUGCAGAAGCAGCCACUGGGAGUUCUGUUUCAUCUCCUCCUCAUUCUUCUCCAGAGCAGACAUGCAAAUCCGCUGUAAUGAGCGGUGUGUGUGUGUGUGUGUGUGUGUGUGUGUGUGUGUGUGUGUGUGUGUGUGUGUGUGUGUGUGUGUGUGUGUGUGUGUGUGUGUGUGUG
ensembl:lncRNA